ensembl:lncRNA
UGUAGUGUCACCUCUUGCACUGAGAUGCAGUGCCUUAGACCGCUGUGCCACUCGGGAGCAAAAAACAAACAUAUUUUUGUUAAAUCCUGCCUACUCGAAUGACCCUGGUGCCAUGGCCCGAACUUGCAAGCUAGCUAACUUUACAGCCACCAGAAACAAACACAGAGCAGACAAAGUCAACAAGCUAGAUAACGUGUUUGCAGAUAAACUGCCCUUGUAGCAGGGACAAAAGAAACAAGUAUCGUUCUCCGUUCUGAAUCAACUCGAUCCCCAAAAGAUAAAAAGAAGCAAGAAAAAUAUGGCUCAUGCCCAAGCCGGAUAAACAUUGGAAUGAAUUUUGAAAGGUGGAGGAGUGAUACCAAAAUGGCCACCAUUCUCAUGGACUGGUAGGACCACCACUAGCUAUUCUCAGGGAGAUACUGGUGAAGAAAAUCUGAUUUAGAGGGAACCGGAGGCUGUACAAGUUGUGGUUGUGCAAACCCCAACACAGGAGGAGAGGAGAACUUGGACAUAGAUGAUGACGAACAUCCUAACCCUUCAACUACAUUACAUGCGUUGCCAUGGCUUUCCCACCUUUCACCCCCUACUAGUAGGUCCAAGCCAUCCUUUGCAUUAUAUGCCAAGAGUGUGCAAAGCUGUCAUCAAGGCUACUUUGAAGAAUCUCAAAUAUAAAUCAUAUUUUGAUUUGCUUAACACUUUUUUGGUUACUACGUGAUUCCAUAUGUGUAAUUUCAUAGUUUUGAUGUAUUCACUAUUAUUCUACAAUGUAGAAAAUUGUAAAAAUAAAGAAAACCCUGGAAUGAGUAGGAGUGUCCAAACUUUUGACUGGUAGUGUACUUUUAUUUAUAUAUAUAUAUAUAUAUAUAUAUAUAUAUAUAGUGCAUCUAUUUCCUUAUAUGAAC